GUGGGGAAUUUUGGACAAUGGGCGCAAGCCUGAUCCAGCCAUUCCGCGUGCAGGAUGAAGGCCUUCGGGUUGUAAACUGCUUUUGUACGGAACGAAAAGCCUCUGGUUAAUACCCGGGGGUCAUGACGGUACCGUAAGAAUAAGCACCGGCUAACUACGUGCCAGCAGCCGCGGUAAUACGUAGGGUGCGAGCGUUAAUCGGAAUUACUGGGCGUAAAGCGUGCGCAGGCGGUGAUGUAAGACAGUUGUGAAAUCCCCGGGCUGAACCUGGGAAUGGCGCUUGUGACUGCAGUGCUGGGGUGUGGCAGAGGGGGAUGGAAUUCCGCGUGUAGCAGUGAAAUGCGUAGAUAUGCGGAGGAACACCGAUGGCGAAGGCAAUCCCCUGGGCCUGCACUGACGCUCAUGCACGAAAGCGUGGGGAGCAAACAGGAUUAGAAACCCGUGUAGUCC
rnacentral:rRNA from 1 species